CCUACGGGAGGCUGCAGUGAGGAAUAUUGGUCAAUGGGCGCGAGCCUGAACCAGCCAAGUAGCGUGAAGGAUGACUGCCCUACGGGUUGUAAACUUCUUUUAUAAAGGAAUAAAGUGAGGCACGUGUGCCUUUUUGUAUGUACUUUAUGAAUAAGGAUCGGCUAACUCCGUGCCAGCAGCCGCGGUAAUACGGAGGAUCCGAGCGUUAUCCGGAUUUAUUGGGUUUAACGGGAGCGUAGAUGGGUUGUUAAGUCAGUUGUGAAAGUUUGCGGCUCAACCGCAAAAUUGCAAUUGAUACUGGCAGGCUAGAGUACAGGUGAGGUAGGUGGAAUUCGUGGUGUAGCGGUGAAAUGCUUAGAUAUCACGAAGAACUCCGAUUGCGAAGGCAGCUUACUAAACUGCAACUGACAUUGAUGCUCGAAAGUGUGGGUAGCAAACAGGAUUAGAUACCCCUGUAGUC
rnacentral:rRNA from 1 species